CGCAAAGCCUGGCUUGCACUCGCGGUGCAUCGGGGAACCUGGUGGCCAGCAGCGGCGGGGUGCAUGAGCGGCGCGGACGUAAUUUCGGGAAUGUUGCAAUUGAUCUGAAAUACCCAUAUUGCCUCUGAAGAAAAGAACACCCAGAGAACAUUUACAGUUGGAUAUUUUUAAUGUUCAUGAGAUGUCUCCUAAAACUGUUCUCCUGAUGCCAUGGAUAUUCUGCUUCUUAAAGGACUGGUGUUGGUCUUGGUCAGUUGUUUUACUGGGCUUCUCUACUACCGUCCCACUACCGUUUUUUUUAACUGGGAAAGAACAGUUUACAAGAAACCAAAUUUCAUAGUAAUUUUGGCAGACGAUGUAGGAUGGGGAGAUUUUGGAGCCAACUGGGACCUACAAAAAGACACACCUAAUUUGGAUAAGAUAGCCCAGGAAGGAAUGAGAUUUGUAGAUUUCCAUUCAGCUGCAUCUACCUGUUCCCCAUCACGUGCCUCUCUGCUUACAGGACGUCUCGGCCUUCGUAACGGCGUGACCCACAAUUUUGCUGUGUCUUCAGCGGCAGGCCUUCCAUUGAACGAGACGAUAUUGGCAGAAAUUCUGAAAGAAGCUGGGUACCUCACCGCUAUGAUAGGGAAAUGGCACUUGGGACAUCAUGGCCCUUUCCAUCCCAGCUUUCGUGGUUUUGAUUUUUAUUUUGGUAUACCAUAUAGCCCUGAUAUGGGCUGUACUGACACUCCAGGUUAUAACCUCCCUCCCUGCCCGGCUUGUCCCAGAUGCUCCACAACAGUCAAUAAACAUCAGAAAAACUGCUAUCCUGAAAUUGCACUUCCUCUUUUUGAAAACCUUACAAUUGUCCAACAGCCUGUAAACUUAACUACCUUAGCGGCGACGUUUACAGAAAAAGUUAUUCAUUUCAUCCAUUAUGCCAGUCAGAAGGGUCUCCCUUUCUUCCUAUAUCUUGCUCUGGCUCAUAUGCAUGUGCCUUUGGUUUUGUCUGAGGCACCUUGGAAUCCAUUUUGCCAAGAUCCCUAUGGAACAUACUUGAAGGAAAUGGAUGCUUUGGUGGGACAGAUAAAGGAUGCGGUUGACAGCACAGCAAAGGAAGAUACUCUCCUCUGGUUUACAGGAGACAAUGGUCCUUGGUCUGAGAAGUGUGACUACGCAGGAAGUGUUGGUCCAUAUACAGGGAUGUGGCAAAGAAGAAAAGGUGGUAGCUCAGCAAAACAGACAACCUGGGAAGGAGGACACCGCGUGCCCACAGUUGCAUAUUGGCCAGGGAAGAUCCCAGCAAACGUGACGAGCGCUUUGAUGUUAAGCACUUUAGACAUAUUUCCUACAUUGGUAUCUCUAGCGAAUGCUACCCUUCCUCCCAACAGACGUUUUGAUGGGAUAGAUAUCUCUGAAGUCCUGUUCGGGUACUCAAGCAAAGGACACCAGACAUUAUUCCAUCCCAACAGUGGUGCAGCUGGAAAAUACGGAGAAAUACAGUCUCUUCGGUUGGACCAAUAUAAAGCCUUUUAUCUUACAGGUGGUGCCAAAGCAUGUGAUGGAAGCAUUGGUCAGGAAGUACAUCAUCAGCCACCUCUCAUUUUUAACUUGCAGCAUGAUAUUCAAGAGCAAGAGCCGAUGGACAUUCACAGUGCCGAGUAUCGUUCUGUCUUGCCAUUGGUAAAUAAGGCCCUUAUGGAUAUUCUUCAGGAUAUUGCAUCAGAUAAUGCCUCUAUAGCAGAUUAUUCUCACGAUGCAGAUGCGAUCCCCUGUUGCAACCCCCAACACUUGGCCUGCAGAUGUGAAUCGACUUAUGCUAACUUAUCUUUGGAAAAAUGUUAAACAACUUCGGAGUUUGCAACCUUCUGUGUCCUCCCAGGAGAGCUAGAAGUCACGUGGACAAAACUGCUACAAAAUUUACAACAUUCUAGGUUACGUAAGAAGGAGGAACAUGAGUGGAGACACAGCUCCUGUUAACCUCAUGAUGAUUUUAUUGACAAAUAUUUCAGCAUUCCUCCAACUCUGAAAGUUGGGGAUUUCCUUUUAUUCAAGUAGAUAAUUGCAAAAAUAUUCUGCAUGGGUAAAUUAAUCAUGCGUAUACUGUACAAGGACAUAAAUCAGUAGGUUCUUUUAUAAGUACAUUUAUACAUGACAUAAAUAAAAGAGCUAGCUGGAGUAUAAAAUUGGAGCUUCAAUUAGCUGCAUUUAUAUUGUGGUUCUUGAGAACAAUGUGCAUAUACAGUACAUUGAUACCAACCAUAGAGCAUUUUAAGAAAAUACACAAAAGAGGGGCAGAUAAACGUCAACUAGGAAAAGAGAAACAUACUGUGUGAAAAGCACUGGAGCGUCUCUGGUUUGCCCCACAUUUGUGGGUUCUUCUACAUUCCCCCUUGUUUUUCCAAACUACCUCCCAUCCGCCGCUGUGUGUUGUGUUGUUUGCCUCUCCUCAUGAUCGCUUCACUUUGUUCGUCCGGCUUCCACGGCAUAAGAUUAUCUACCAAAAUCAAAACAGAACGGCCUUACUUUCCCUGGUCAUGUGCCGUUGAGCAUGGGGUGCUGCAAACAGGCUUGAGAGGCAUGCAGAGGGAAGCAGCGGGGAGAUGAAAGCCACAGCACCGUUUCACUUUUGGCAAAGCUGAUGGGUUUCUGGGCCUCCCUUAGGGCUUUGUCCUCAAAUGACAGAAAAAAAAUCUGGCUCAGAAAUAAAUGUGUGUUGAGAUCUGGAUUAAAAAUAUAUUCCUAGGUUAAAUAAUGAUUCCUGCAUGUGUUUCUCUGCAAACUUAGGACAAGCUGGAUCAACUUGAAGAAUCAGUUAUUUAAAUAUAGAAGAAAGAAGUAAGGCAACAGCUCAGCAUACUGGCUAAAAGUAACAUGUGUAGUGUGGGUUUGUCACUCCAAAGGCCAUCAUGAGAAGUUGUCAAUUAGAGUACAAAACAAACGGAGUUCUUGUUAAGACACAGCAAGCCUUCCCAGCUCUUUGAAAAGUGUCUGAUGCUUCUGUUUCUUAAAAUCUUAGUCAUACUGUUGGGGCUUUACUUCAUCAGCUUUUGAUCCUGGUAGCAGUAACCCGUAGUUUACUUUCUGACAUUGCAAAGUAACAACUCAACCAGCAAGAGAAUAUGGUACUGCUGCUGCUACCUACCUUAUGCAAUAUAGUGUAACGCUGAACAUGCCCCGUAAACUAUUUCACAAGCAAAAACUAGAUGGCUGUCCUAAAGCAUUCGUGUUUAAAGGCAGAUCAAGGCUUCUUUGACAGUUUCCAUAAUUGUUCCCAUUUUCCAUAGAGAGAAGACAACUUUUAUCAUAUCCAGAACAAUUCCAAGUAGAGAAUGAUACAUACCAUCAUCUCUGUAAUGACAUGUUUAUUGUAUUGGUUCACAAUAAAAGACAAAUAAGGCACAUCAGAAAAUGUGGUAUAUUAGUGGAUUAUGGAUCUCUGGUAAUAGUAUGUACUGUUUUUAUUAUUAUUUAUAAUAAUAAUCUGGCUAACUUUGUGCCAAAUCUUAAUAUUAUGUAUUUCAUUUAGCAUCUUAUGUCUAGUAUGGUAAAAUUAAUUCAACUCCCUUUGGCCUCGUGCACAUCUACAUAGUUUUCUUGGCAAUAAUAUAUUUCCAAAUAUAGACAAUACUCCUUCCUCCUCCUAUUUCCCCCCACAUCAACAACCACUCUGUGAGUUGAGUUUGGUUAACAGAGGGCAACUAGCGAACAAGUUGUACUGAAAGUGGGUAGAGACUGCAACCCUUCACCCUAUAAUGUAUAAGGGCCCAUUUUAAGGAAUAUUGGAUUUGAAAGGUUUUUGUCUCUGAUUUCAGGAUGGAAGCUAUUAAUAGGAGAGAAACCAAUGGAAAUAAUUUCUCCAUCGCUUCUGCUCUCCUGAUAGAAACCUAGCAGGACUUAGAAACCUUGUAAGUUUUGAUGUUGAAGUGUUAGAAAAUGAAAGGUAGGAUUAAUUUGGAUAAGAAACACAGAGACGUCUUACAGGCUGUUUAUUGAAGUCCCAUGUUUCUGUUUAUUAAAUUUAGAUGCUGUCCAAAUCGCAUCAACUCUGGGAGGUUUACAAAAUGUUUUAUUUAAAAAAAAGUUCAAACAACAUAACAUAAAACAAAAAAGAGCAAAGAUGGCAAACCCAGAUAGGGACGAAGAAAAAAGAAAAGAAAAGGGAACUUCAAUCACAUUUGCCUUCUUUGCUGCUUUCUUUUCAUUCCCCCCCUUCAUUUUUAUAGCUUUCUUAUUCUAUGAAUAAGAUACUUCAUUACCACAAUUUUAUACUGUAUUAAGAGUGGUUCAUAAGUAGCAUGGCAAAAAACAAAGGAUAAGAGCAUGUCUACCAAUCAAGUUACUAGAUUUGAGAGGCAUGACGAAUGCUGAAGAGCUGUAAUCCACCCUCUUUUAUUAUGGCAGCCAAAGGUAAAAUAAAACACAUGCUUAAAAACAAAUGGAAUAGCUCCUUAAUGACCUGAACAAUAUUGCUGAGCACAAUUAAAGCAAUUGCUAAUUAAAGCUACUGUAUCUGGGCUGCAGAAAUCUAGAUUACAACUAGAUGGGUUUUUUUUAAAGGUACAAGUUUCAUAAUUUUAUAAUAGUAAAAAAUUGCAACACUAGCACCAAGCACAACAAAGAAAGUAAUUAUACAAUAAAGAACAAAAAUCUAAAUACUAUAUGUUAAUUAAAAUUGGAUAAAUGUGAGUGAAUGGCCACUGCAUGGCAGCAAAGAGCUAUUGUGAAUUUCUGUAUCAGCUUGCUGUCAUGUAAUAGCCAUCCUAAAAUUUCACAACCCAGAUAGGAUAGCUCUGGAAGCUCAGUAAAUUUAUAUGCCCAUGUAUUAAUGUAAGAAAUAAAAACUGGAAGAAUACAAAUCAGUUUUAAAUAUAAUACUUUUUUUUUUCUGAAUACUGGUCAUGGCCAUGAUUAC